rnacentral:piRNA from 1 species
UACUCAUCUUUAUGCGGGUUGCUAGGU